CUUGAUAAUGCUAGCUUUAUUGAUCGAUUAUGCAUCUGUUGACAGCAAUGUAAAAUGCAGAGUCUACUUACCCAUGAUAAUUAUGACUCAAGUGAUCCUCAAAACUUCCUGCUGAAUAUGUCAGCGUUUCAAAUAGAAUUCAAAUCCCCUGAAGUACAGAAUGCUUUGGGAUCCACUUAUAAGUGCUGCUUAAUAACUGAUCUCACCUUCGAAGUUACAGAAGAACAUGUAUGGAGUAAAAAUGCUUCCCUUUUCCUCGGGAGAGGUGGUUCGGUUCUGCAUUUCAAAGCACAGCAUGGGAAAUGGAUUUUACACGCUCAGUCUGUCAAUCACCGUGGACACACCCUCGGCAAUAACGGAAGAGGCGGGAGGAUGAAAAUCCCGUUGACUCAUUGGUGGAUGACCGUGACCUGGCAAUACUACCUGGAAGUUGCUCAUAACAAAUUAUUUUCGGGUUGUCCAACGACUUGAGGCUUUCAGUGGACUGUUAAUAUGAAGGAGAUAUUACUAAAAUAUUUCAAUUAAUUGCAAAUUGUACCAAACUAAUAUUGCUAUUUAAAACGGAAUAGUUCAUUCAACCGAGUUGGCUUGUUUCCAACCCGAAGUUUCAGUUGAAAGAAACCCUGUUGGGCUCUGGCGCCACCUCCUGAUUACAGCUGGCAGCACUUGCCCCUGCUAACCCCUUCUUGACUUGGAAACACACGGCGGACAGAUGACUGACCAGGCCCCGAACUGAUGUCCUGCUACCUGCCUGACUGGUUUCACUGGGUCUGCAGGACUGUCCGUUACCCACUCCUCAGACAGUAAGGAUAUUGAUUGCCCCAAACACCACAUCCAAGCCCCUGGACAGAAAUCAGAAUUGCCCCGGAGGUGAAUCCUGAAGCAGUGGCAGGCGGCUGUGAUUCCUGGAGUCCUAGGUGCAGACCGGCUCGAUGGGAGGCAGACCUUACAUUUGCCUUGGAGCAACUGAGUGCCGGUAUGGAGCGGACUGGAGGCUCGGAGCAGAGCAGGGAUGGCUAUUGGAUUAAGGUCUGACACGGGUGGUCCUGCACUGAGCUGCUGCAAUUACAGAUGCCUGUGUGUCAUGAAUUGGAACCUAUUUCUCCAACACCAGUCUUUGAGCCAAUCGUGCCUGAAAUCUGAUUAUGUCCUGAGCUGCUGCGGGGUAUCAUUUGUUAGAAUUGAAGAGAAUAUUUUUGAUGUCUGAGAAACUGUACUCCCAGAUGUUCAUCUUCAAACAGGCUUGACAGAGAAGUCUGACAUGAAACACACAUAUUGUGGCUGCUGCCUGAAAAUCAUCCAUAAUUGUCUUGUACAAGUGUAGGCAGUUACAGACCAGCCACUGAAGUAUCCAUUCAUCUAUGUCAUUGCUAAGUGGGUUAGGUGCUGAAAUGGUCACGGUCUAAAUUAUAUCCAUCAUCCUUUAUGCUUUAGGGAAAGUAAAAAUCUGGUGCUAAGAUGUUAGCAGAAAUACAGAGGAAGUGGAUAGUCCUCAUAAACAAAAUAUUAGUCAUUUGUCAGAUGCAUCUUUGGGUACUGCAUUAUUUGGUAUUGAGAUCCCCUGCACUCACCUGGAAAACAUUUGUUCACUUUGACGUCCAUCAAAUGGCUAUCCCUUUGAAUUUGUUUACAAAACUUCUUCCAGUACACAACAUAAUUCUGUAAUUAGUUCACUGUGAAGUUUUAAAGUUGUUUUUAACCAAGCAGCUGUAAUCAACCCUAUAUGAUGGGUGGCAUAGCAUUAUUAGACUAUAUAUAUUUAGUGUCUUCUAAUAGCUAUAUCAUCCCUUUUACCAUCCUAUUCAGCAAUCUCUACUAGAUCAAAAGUCAGAGCCCUAAAUACACUGCAGUGACCCUUUGACUUACAUAAACUCUAAAACUGCAAUGAUAACUACUGAAUGCCAAGAUGCAAAAACCUCCUUCAGUUUACAUAAGGGUACAAUUAAAUGCAUUUUACUUUUAAAGCAGAAAGUUUGGAAUAAUACAGGCUUCCUCAUGACCACAAAUACUAUUUCAAUGAGGUUGAUGCAUAGUUAAGGUAAAAUCAGACACACGCAAUCUUUAAAGUAAAGUGCAAAAAUAGUGGACUAGGCAGGGGCUUACACACAACAGCAGACUCAUUGAAUUGUUGACUUUUGAUGCUUCACUUGCAUGUAUAGCUGUGCGUAAAAUGUUACACCUAUAAUUAUUUAUAAACUGACUAUUCAGACCUCUCAGUCUCUGGAUAGCGAGAGGCUGACUGUACGCUGAAAGCUAUGUGUUGAGAUCCCUUGGAGGUUCUGACGCACUGACUGUGUGGUACUAGCUGAGGAAGAUUAAACAUCUGGUGUACAAUUACCUAACAUCUGGAAUCCUAAAAACAAAUCCUGAACUUUGAGAUGGAGUGAAAGACUUUUGAGGUCUCUGAUUUACAUACUUUAAUACUUAGACCGGAACAGUGAAAGAAAGAUUAACAUUAAAGCCUGCUCGAACUCCAAGCUAAAUAUACUUACAGAGUCGCAGUCACUCACAUUGAUACUGCCCCCUCCAACACUCUCACUGAUCCCAACACUGGAUCCACGUAACUGCCACAUGUACCUCCUUGCCCACGUAUCUAACUUUCCACCUUCUUGCUACCCUAACUCCAAACCCCUUAUUUACUACUCUCUCUCAAUACCUGGACACUUUUAUACAUUUUACCCAACCCCACACUACCCUUCAACAAUUUACCUGCUUUGUUAUCUCCUCAACCUAUUACUUUCCACCCUAGCCUCUCAUCAAUCUAUCUGCCAUCCUGCCCACUUAGUUAUCAAAAUACCCCCUCAACCAUUUGCUGGUAUCCUACCUACUCAUCCACCUGAAACCCUAACCCCUUACCCACCCACUUGCCACACCAGCUCCUCAUUGAUUUAUCUUAGAAACAUUCUUACCUCAGUGGCUAUCAAACAAAAAGCUUUUGGACCUUCCAGCUAUGUUUAUUUGAAGGAAGCUUUCGCAAUAAAAAGUGGACGUUGCUAAAAAUGGCUAGAUAAUUACAACGAUAAUAAUGACGUUAACAAUAAUACUGGCUAUCCAGAUCAUCUUAUGGCAAAUAUCACAUGGAGUCACAGACAGGCCUAAUUAGCUGCCACAUUUCAUCCUCAAAUGUGCCUUGUCUACUUCAGAUUGCUAUGGAAGAGUAAGGGAUAUCAUAAAUUUGAGCAAUCAGUGAACUGUUUCACAUAACUACUAUGCAGUGAGUGGUGCCCAUCACUGACAGGAUGCUGCCUAUUACACAAAUGAGUUCUGUGUUAAAUGAACUUAAGAAUGAGUGUGAUGUGAGAUAUAUGUUCCAAAGACUGUUUGCAGCAGGCAAGUUACUGACUGUACUCAAUUAGCUCACUUUUGAAAACUUCAAAAUACAUUGUUCAACAUGAGAUAGGAUUCUGUGAUUCGACAACAUUUGCUAAGAAGUCGUGAAUAUGCUAAGAAAUAUGCUGACAACCAGGUUAAUGUUGUUAGCCAGGCUCACAGUGUGGCACAAUUGCAUGUAUUGGAAGUUACAUAAAUUAAUACAUAGGUUCUGGAUGUAAGUUUGCUCAUUGAGCUGGAAGGUUCAUUUUCAGAUGUGUUGUCACCACAAUAGAUAACAGUGAGCCUCUGGUAAAGCACUGGUGUUAGUGACCCGCUUUCUAGUUAUGUGUUUAGGUUUCCUUGGGUUGGUGAUGUCAUUUCCAGUGGUGAUGUCAUUUCCGGUCCUUUUUCUCAGAGGGAGGCAGAUGGCACAGGUCGAUGUGUUUGUUGAUAGAGCUCUGGUCGGAAUGCCAUGUUUCUAGGAAUUCUCAUGAGUGUCUCUGUUUGGCUUGUCUGAGGAUGGAGAAUUCCUAGAAACAUGGCAUUCCGACCAG